ACCUCUUCUUAAAUGACUCUUUCCUCCGAUCAAUUUCACAAGUGAGUUUCAUAGUCCGUCUGUCUGCUAACGUUUUUUCAAGAGUUCUCCAGAAAAGAUCCAAAAAUGAAUGGUUAAUUUCCAGAUUCUAUUUUCCGAAUUGAAGGAAGGUCAUUGCAGAGAAAAGGGGUAAGUUCAUGGGUGUUGAGAUGGUUCUGAUUGACGGGAAGGUUAUCUGAUUCUCUUUAAUCUCUUAUAAGUUACUUGAAUCCAUGAUUUUAUUUUAAUCCUUCACCAUCUAGAUUCAAAGACCUGCUCAAAACAAGGAUCCCUUUUAGGAGCUAACUGGUUUUGAUGUCACCAGGAGCAUCCAAAACUUCAGAUUCGCUGAUGCCCCUGUUUCAAUCAGAUUCAUAGAGCAAACAGGUUUCAUAAUUUCGACCAGCUAUUGUCACUGGCUAACACAAACACUGAAUUGCCAGUUAGACACUUCAUUACCUGACCUAUAAUUUAUUUCAUCCUCUAAAAUCUGCCAUUAAUCCUUAUGUUCCUCUGCAGAUAUCAUUGGGGGAGGUGCGGGGCAUAAGGACCACUUAGACCGAGAAACCCAAUCCACUCAGACGCCUCAUGGCUGAAGCCUGAACUCAUUACUUGCUUCACAUAGAUCCCCUUAGCGGUUUGGUUGUUGCCGUCUGACCUUACGUCGUUUACAUGACAUCUAGCUUACAUCUUCAGGGACGGACCCGCAUGCAUAAGUGUAUUCGACAACCUUGCGGAGCUCCUCGAUGAGGAAUUAGUAAUGUCAGGUGUGGAACCAAAGGUUUCUGUAGCCACCAAUAUCAACCCUAAAUUAGUUGGAGAGUUGGUCACCACAAGGUUGGUCUCGGUAGGAAGGUUCAUCCUCAACGUCUACAAAAUAUGGUGAUGUUAAGAAGAUCGAAACGUUAACACUGUCUGAGCUAAAUGCUUAUAUCACAUCUCCCUACAGGUGACCACUUUCACGUAACCCAUCUGUUAGUGCGUUUCUUGACCGACAAUUACUUUCACUUUUGUUGGUGCCUUAUCCAAAGUGUCCCUGAGAUAAAGAGCAAACGACGAAAGAAAGAUUUCUAUUACAUGGUAUCUCACCAGAAUCAAUCUUUUUUGGACCGUAUUGCAAUGAUGAAAGCAAGAUGAUCGUUGUGUAUGAGUAUAUGAAAAAAGGAACGCUUAAAGACCAUCUGUAUGACUCGGAUAAUCCUAGGUUGAGCUGGAGACAGAAGCUUGAGAUAUGCGCUAAAGGGCUUCACUAUCUCCAUACAGGUUCGCAAGAGCCAUUAUACACUGCGUGUGAAGUCUGCUUCAGGUAAACAUUUAGGACCAACUCUUCUUCUAUAGAACCUGUUGAAGGAGCUUUACUCUUUACACAAUGUUAUAAUCUGUCUACAGGCCAUUGAAGCUCUCGACCCGAACCACAAACUAGUAGUUUACUAGAACCACAAGAAGCAAACUCAAUCUGAAUAGAAAGACAACUUCAUAUCAUCAAACUGAUCCGUGGUUUGAGCAAAUUUGAUGUAACAAAAGCUCCAAGAGCAACUCCGAGACAACAAGAGUGACUACCUUUUGGAUAGAUAGAGAACAUUUCUUUCUUUCAUUUCUUUUUUUGUUGCAUUCAUCCAGAGUCUUUUGUUCUUUUUAUUCUCAGCAAAAUUUUCAGUAAACAAAUAACCUACCUUAGCGUUUAUAAAAGUAUAACUUGGAACAAUAAAUGUUCGAUUCUUUCGCUAAUGCCAUAUGAUAAUAAUACAAAAGAAAUUCAA